GAUGAACGCUGGCGGCGUGCCUAAUACAUGCAAGUCGAGCGAACAGAUAAGGAGCUUGCUCCUUUGACGUUAGCGGCGGACGGGUGAGUAACACGUGGGUAACCUACCUAUAAGACUGGGAUAACUUCGGGAAACCGGAGCUAAUACCGGAUAAUAUUUCGAACCGCAUGGUUCGAUAGUGAAAGAUGGCCCUGCUAUCACUUAUAGAUGGACCUGCGCCGUAUUAGCUAGUUGGUAAGGUAACGGCUUACCAAGGCAACGAUACGUAGCCGACCUGAGAGGGUGAUCGGCCGCACUGGAACUGAGACACGGUCCAGACUCCUACGGGAGGCAGCAGUAGGGAAUCUUCCGCAAUGGGCGAAAGCCUGACGGAGCAACGCCGCGUGAGUGAUGAAGGUCUUCGGAUCGUAAAACUCUGUUAUUAGGGAAGAACAAACGUGUAAGUAACUGUGCACGUCUUGACGGUACCUAAUCAGAAAGCCACGGCUAACUACGUGCCAGCAGCCGCGGUAAUACGUAGGUGGCAAGCGUUAUCCGGAAUUAUUGGGCGUAAAGCGCGCGUAGGCGGUUUUUUAAGUCUGAUGUGAAAGCCCACGGCUCAACCGUGGAGGGUCAUUGGAAACUGGGAAACUUGAGUGCAGAAGAGGAAAGUGGAAUUCCAUGUGUAGCGGUGAAAUGCGCAGAGAUAUGGAGGAACACCAGUGGCGAAGGCGACUUUCUGGUCUGUAACUGACGCUGAUGUGCGAAAGCGUGGGGAUCAAACAGGAUUAGAUACCCUGGUAGUCCACGCCGUAAACGAUGAGUGCUAAGUGUUAGGGGGUUUCCGCCCCUUAGUGCUGCAGCUAACGCAUUAAGCACUCCGCCUGGGGAGUACGACCGCAAGGUUGAAACCCAAAGGAAUUGACGGGGACCCGCACAAGCGGUGGAGCAUGUGGUUUAAUUCGAAGCAACGCGAAGAACCUUACCAAAUCUUGACAUCCUUUGACCCUUCUAGAGAUAGAAGUUUCCCCUUCGGGGGACAAAGUGACAGGUGGUGCAUGGUUGUCGUCAGCUCGUGUCGUGAGAUGUUGGGUUAAGUCCCGCAACGAGCGCAACCCUUAAGCUUAGUUGCCAUCAUUAAGUUGGGCACUCUAAGUUGACUGCCGGUGACAAACCGGAGGAAGGUGGGGAUGACGUCAAAUCAUCAUGCCCCUUAUGAUUUGGGCUACACACGUGCUACAAUGGACAAUACAAAGGGCAGCGAAACCGCGAGGUCAAGCAAAUCCCAUAAAGUUGUUCUCAGUUCGGAUUGUAGUCUGCAACUCGACUACAUGAAGCUGGAAUCGCUAGUAAUCGUAGAUCAGCAUGCUACGGUGAAUACGUUCCCGGGUCU
rnacentral:rRNA from 1 species